UGCAAGUCGAGCGGAAGGCCCUUCGGGGUACUCGAGCGGCGAACGGGUGAGUAACACGUGAGCAACCUGCCCCUGACUCUGGGAUAAGCCCGGGAAACUGGGUCUAAUACCGGAUAUGACCGCUCCCGGCAUCGGGUGGUGGUGGAAAGUUUUUCGGUUGGGGAUGGGCUCGCGGCCUAUCAGCUUGUUGGUGGGGUAGUGGCCUACCAAGGCGACGACGGGUAGCCGGCCUGAGAGGGCGACCGGCCACACUGGGACUGAGACACGGCCCAGACUCCUACGGGAGGCAGCAGUGGGGAAUAUUGCGCAAUGGGCGGAAGCCUGACGCAGCGACGCCGCGUGGGGGAUGACGGCCUUCGGGUUGUAAACCUCUUUCAGCAGGGACGAAGUUGACGUGUACCUGCAGAAGAAGCGCCGGCUAACUACGUGCCAGCAGCCGCGGUAAUACGUAGGGCGCAAGCGUUGUCCGGAAUUAUUGGGCGUAAAGAGCUCGUAGGUGGCUGGUCACGUCUGCCGUGAAAGCCCGCAGCUUAACUGCGGGUCUGCGGUGGAUACGGGCCGGCUAGAGGUAGGUAGGGGCAAGUGGAAUUCCUGGUGUAGCGGUGAAAUGCGCAGAUAUCAGGAGGAACACCGGUGGCGAAGGCGGCUUGCUGGGCCUUACCUGACGCUGAGGAGCGAAAGCGUGGGGGAGCGAA
rnacentral:rRNA from 1 species